GUCGAACGAUUAAGGCCCUUCGGGGCGUAUAAAGUGGCGAACGGGCGAGUAAUGCAUUCCUAACGUACCCCAAGGCGGGGGAUAGCCCGGUGAAAACCGGGGUAAUACCCCAUAACUCCGUCUGGCCGCAUGGCCGGAUGGGCAAAGGCUUGCCACCAUGGGAUCGGGGAAUGUCCUAUCAGGUAGUUGGUGAGGUAACGGCUCACCAAGCCAUAGACGGGUAGCGGGUGUGAGAGCAUGACCCGCCGCAUCGGGACUGAGACACUGCCCGGACUCCUACGGGAGGCUGCAGUAACGAAUCUUCCGCAAUGCGCGAAAGCGUGACGGAGCAAUGCCGCGUGUGGGAUGAAGGCCUUCGGGUUGUAAACCACUGUCAGGGUUUAGCAAAAAAAUGAGCAGACCCAGAGGAAGGACCGGCUAACUCUGUGCCAGCAGCCGCGGUAAUACAGAGGGUCCAAGCGUUGCGCGGAAUCACUGGGCUUAAAGCGUGCGUAGGCGGGAGCGUAAGUGUCUUGUGAAAUCCCACGGCUCAACCGUGGAACUGCUGGGCAUACUGCGCUUCUUGAGGCCGACAGGGGAUGCCGGAACUGUAGGUGUAGCGGUGAAAUGCGUAGAUAUCUACAGGAAC
rnacentral:rRNA from 1 species